AGAGUUAUGGAUGAAUUAGAGUGUUUAGACAACACUUAUACCCAUUUUCUCCCAAAAGAGGGUAAAACCAACAAAAAAUUGCUUAGAAGUAUUAAACAGUUUUGUUAGUGUUUUUAUGGUAAAAAUGUGUAAGAAUCCAAUGCAUUUGACUAAUUAUAAGAGUUAGAGAUGGAUUAGGAGUUUUUAGACAAUACUUAUACCUAUUUUCUCCCAAAAGAGGCUAAAACUAACAAAACAUUGCUUACAAGCAGUAAACACUUUUGUUAGUGUUUUUAUGGUCAAAAUGUGUCAGAAUCCAAUGCAUUUGACUAGUUAUAAGAGUUAGAGAUGGAUUAGGAGUGUUUAGACAACACUUAUACCCAUUUUCUCCCAAAAGAGGCUAAAACCAACAAAAAAUUGCUUAAAAGCAGUAAAUAGCUUUGUUAGUAUUUCUAUGGUCAAAAUGUGUCACAAUCCAAUGCAUUUGACUUAUUAUUAGAGAUAAAGAUAGAUUAGGAGUGUUUGGACAACACUUAUACCCAUUUUCUCCCAGAAGAGGCUAAAACAAACAAAAAAUAACUAAGAAGCAGUAAAUAGCUUUGUUAGUGUUUCCAUGGUCAAAAUGUAUCACGAUCCAAUGUAUUUGACUAAUUCUAUCAGUUAAAGAUGGAUUAGGAGUGUUUACACAACACUUAUACCCAUUUUGUCCCAAAAGAGGCUAAAACCAACAAACAAUUGCUUAGAAGUAGUAAAUAGCUUUGUUAGUGUUUCUAUGGUAAAAAUGUGUCACAAUCCAAUGCAUUUGACUAAUUAUAAGAGAUAAAGAUUGAUUAGGAGUGUUUAGACAACAUUUAUACCCAUUUUCUCCUAGAAGAGGCUAAAACCAACAAAAAAUAACUAAGAAGCAGUAAAUAGCUUUGUUAGUGUUUCUAUGGUCAAAAUUGUGUCACAAUCCAAAGCCUUUAACUAAUUAUAAGAGUUAGAGAUGGAUUAGGAGUGUUUAGACAACACUUAUACCCAUUUUCUCCUAAAACAGACUAAAACCAACAAAAAAUUGCUUAAAAGCACUAACCAGUUUUGUUAGUGUUUUUUAUGGUCAAAAUGUGUCACAAUCCAAUGCAUUUGACUAAUUAUAAGAAAUAAAGAUAGAUUAGGAGUGUUUGGACAACACUUAUACCCAUUUUCUCCCAGAAGAGGCUAAAACCAACAAAAAACAACUAAGAAGCAGUAAAUAGCUUUGUUAGUGUUUCUAUGGUCAAAAUGUGUCACAGUCCAAAGCCUUUAACUAAUUAUAAGAGUUAGAGAUGGAUUAGGAGUGUUUAGACAACACUUAUACCCACUUUGUCCCAAAAGAGGCUAAAACCAACAAAAAAUAACUUAAAAGCAGUAAAUAGCUUUGUUAGUGUUUCUAUGGUUAAAAUGUGUCACAAUCCAAAGCCUUUAACUAAUUAUAAGAGUUACAGAUGGAUUAGGAGUGUUUAGACAACAGUUAUACCCAUUUUCUCCUAAAACAGACUAAAACCAACAAAAAAUUGCUUAAAAGCACUAACCAGUUUUGUUAGUGUUUUUAUGGUCAAAAUGUGUCGCAAUCUAAUGCAUUUGACUAAUUAUAAGAGUUAGGGAUGGAUUAGAGUGUUUAGACAACACUUAUACCCAUUUUCUCCAAAAGAGGCUAAAACCAACAAAAAAUUGCUUAGAAGUACAAAACAGUUUUGUUAGUGUUUUUAUGGUCAAAAUGUGUAAGAAUCCAAUGCAUUUUACUAAUUAUAAGAGUUAGAGAUGGAUUAGGAGUGCUUAGACAAUACUUAUACCCAUUUUCUCCCAAAAGAGCCUAAAACCCACAAAACAUUGCUUAGAAGCAGUAAACAGUUUUGUAAGUGUUUUUAUGGUCAAAAUGUGUCAGAAUCUAAUGCAUUUGACUAAUUAUAAGAGUUAGAGAUGGAUUAGGAGUGUUUAGACAACACUUAUACCCAUUCUGUCCUAAAAGAGGCUAAAACCAACAAAAAAUUGCUUAAAAGCAGUAAAUAGCUUUGUUAGUGUUUCUAUGGUCAAAAUGUGUCAAAAUCCAAAGCAUUUGACUAAUUAUAAGAGUUAUAGAUGGAUUAGGAGUGUUUAGACAACACUUAUACCUAUUUUCUCUUUAAAAUAGGCUAAAACCAAUAAACAAA
rnacentral:sRNA from 1 species